rnacentral:lncRNA from 10 species
AUCUUGUACUGCAGAAGCAGUGGCUCUGCCAUCAGGUUAGGGCUCAGAUCAAGAUGACACUGAUUUAUGAAAGGACAAUCAAAGUGUCAGUGCUAUUUCUGGACUGGUGUCUUCAGGCUUCUGUGUCUCCCCUUAGCUCCAGGGGAGACAGUCAUCCUCAUGGAAGGAGACAAAAGAAACUGCACCCGGGUAGCAGGGAGGCAAGCUGUCUACAGGGAAGGGUCCCUGUCCUCUGUGCCAUGAGACCUGCCAUGAGAAACAGCGCACUCCAAUGGCAGGGAGUGAAGAUCCUGGUGUUACACAUCCAAUUGUUCACCUCCUUCCAAGACUAUGACAUUCCAGGAAACCUUCAGUGCUAA